UGUUAUUGCAAUCGCACAAAAUCAGCCACUCCCUCUCCAUGUAUUACCCGCACACAAUCAGUUACCACUCCCCCAUGAAUAUAGCAACAAGAAAGGUGGAUAUGGAGAAGAUCUCUACCGAAAUUCCAACAAAUGCAGUUUAUUUAAGUACACACAAGCCUCAAUCUUUUCUCACAAUCACAAUCAUUUUCACAACUUUCACAAUACCAAAGAAACAGAUAAGUCGAGAGGGCAAAGAAGAGUUUAUCAAAGAAGUGAAGAAUUAGGAAAAAAAAGAGAGUGCAGAGAAACAAAAUUUGGGGGAGAAAUAGGAGACGGCAGUGGCGGCGAAUUGUCACGGAGGAAGAGAACAGCAACGAGCAGCAGCGGCGCGGCAGGCAUUCCCGGCGGAGCAGCACGUCCUCAGCGGGUGCAGCGGGGCGGCAACGAUCCAGCAGCGGUGGCGGUGAUGUUUCGGGGCGGAGCAGCGGCAUCUCCCAGCUGGAUCGAACAACGAUGGAGCAGCGGCGACGCGAUUCCGACAGCAGCGGUGGCUCGGCUGGACGGCUGUGUAGACGACGCAGCCAGCAGAAGCUCUUCCCGGCAGCGACGGAGCAGAGGCGCGACAGCAGCGUCCUCUUCCGGCGGACACCCGGCGGAGAAUUGAAGUCGGAGAUGGAAAGGCGGCAGACGUCGGGAUCGACGGGAGUGAGUUCCUUCUAUUUGACCGAAGAGAGAGAGAGAGAAAGGGGGAAUUAGUGAGAUGGAGGCCGAGAACGGAGGGAUCGAGGGAGAAAGAUGUUACACUCAAUUUGUGAUAGAUAUAUGGAGAUUCCAUAUUUGGGGAGAGAGAUGAAUGGGGAAGAAGAUGGGGAUUGCAUGAGCUAUAAAUUGUAAGGGAGAGUUGUUGAAUUGGGGGAGUGACCGUGGGGUUGAAAGAGAAGACGGGGAGUUGGGCUAGAAUUAGUUUGGGCAGAUUAUCAAAGGCUGCUGUACAAAAUUUUUAUUUGGGCCUAAAGUGAUUUAAUUAGUUGGGCCUAGUCUAUUAAUUUUUGUUGAGCCAUUGCAUUAGUUGAAGGAAGACAAAAUUAGUGAUUGGGAUAGAGUGAUUUAAUUAGGAGACUUGGGCCGCUCGUUUAUUUGAGUUGGACUGGAAUUUGUAUAUGAGAAUGACGAGAGCUCGGACGGAGUCAAUAGAAGGAUAAAUACGAUGUGCUAAAGUCACUGAAAAAGAGAUCAAAUGGUGAAUUUUUGUGUGCUAUUUGAGAACGGAGCUGAUUGCCAAGUGAAGGAUUUAAGAGAACGAGGUUGAGCUGUGACGAGCGCGGUGGGUGUUGAGCAGAGCUGGUGAAGAUUUGUGUUUGGUUUAAAUGUUACGAAUAUAUUGUGUCUUCAUACAUAAUAUUAUUCUUCUCUCGAAUGCUUCCGCUAAAUAUUGUUUCUUUUG